GUGGGGAAUCUUAGACAAUGGGGGAAACCCUGAUCUAGCCAUGCCGCGUGAGCGAUGAAGGCCUUAGGGUUGUAAAGCUCUUUCAGCUGGGAAGAUAAUGACGGUACCAGCAGAAGAAGCCCCGGCUAACUCCGUGCCAGCAGCCGCGGUAAUACGGAGGGGGCUAGCGUUGUUCGGAAUUACUGGGCGUAAAGCGCGCGUAGGCGGACUGAAAAGUUGGGGGUGAAAUCCCGGGGCUCAACCUCGGAACUGCCUUCAAAACUAUCAGUCUGGAGUUCGAGAGAGGUGAGUGGAAUUCCGAGUGUAGAGGUGAAAUUCGUAGAUAUUCGGAGGAACACCAGUGGCGAAGGCGGCUCACUGGCUCGAUACUGACGCUGAGGUGCGAAAGCGUGGGGAGCAAACAGGAUUAGAAACCCCUGUAGUCC
rnacentral:rRNA from 1 species